rnacentral:rRNA from 1 species
UACGGAGGGUCCAAGCGUUAUCCCGGAAUCAUUGGGUUUAAAGGGUCCGUAGGCGGUUUAGUAAGUCAGUGGUGAAAGCCCAUCGCUCAACGGUGGAACGGCCAUUGAUACUGCUAAACUUGAAUUAUUAGGAAGUAACUAGAAUAUGUAGUGUAGCGGUGAAAUGCUUAGAGAUUACAUGGAAUACCAAUUGCGAAGGCAGGUUACUACUAAUUGAUUGACGCUGAUGGACGAAAGCGUGGGUAGCGAACAGG